rnacentral:rRNA from 1 species
UACGUAGGGGGCAAGCGUUGUCCGGAAUCAUUGGGCGUAAAGAGCGUGUAGGCGGCUCGAUAAGUCUGCUGUGAAAGUCCAGGGCUCAACCCUGGAAGGCCGGUGGAAACUGUCGGGCUAGAGUCCGGAAGAGGCGAGUGGAAUUCCCGGUGUAGCGGUGAAAUGCGCAGAUAUUGGGAAGAACACCAGUGGCGAAGGCGGUUCUCUGGGACGGUACUGACGCUGAGACGCGAAAGCGUGGGGAGCGAACAGG